CGGUAGAUCAGGGGUAGAUCGCUGGCUUCGCAAGCCAGAGGCCACGGGUUCAAAUCCCGUCCGGUCCA
rnacentral:tRNA from 1 species